CCCUUAGAUGUUCUGGGCUGCACGCGCGCUACACUGAUACUUUCAGCGAGUCCACCACCUUGCCUGGGAGGGUGGGGUAACCUCUGGAAAGUGCAUCGUGAUGGGGAUCGAUUAUUGUAAUUAUUAAUCUUCAACGAGGAAUUCCUAGUAAGCAUGUGUCAUCAGCCCGUGCUGAUUACGUCCCUGCCCUUUGUACACACCGCCCGUCGCUCCUACCGAUUGGAUGGUCCGGUGAAGCCUCGGGAUUGUGGCGGUUGCCUUUAUUGGUGUCCGCCGCGAGAACUUGUCUAAACCUUAUCAUCUAGAGGAAGGUGAAGUCGUAACA
rnacentral:rRNA from 1 species